AAUACCGGAUAUGACCAUCUUGGGCAUCCUUGAUGGUGUAAAGCUCCGGCGGUGCAGGAUGAGCCCGCGGCCUAUCAGCUUGUUGGUGAGGUAAUGGCUCACCAAGGCGACGACGGGUAGCCGGCCUGAGAGGGCGACCGGCCACACUGGGACUGAGACACGGCCCAGACUCCUACGGGAGGCAGCAGUGGGGAAUAUUGCACAAUGGGCGAAAGCCUGAUGCAGCGACGCCGCGUGAGGGAUGACGGCCUUCGGGUUGUAAACCUCUUUCAGCAGGGAAGAAGCGAAAGUGACGGUACCUGCAGAAGAAGCGCCGGCUAACUACGUGCCAGCAGCCGCGGUAAUACGUAGGGCGCAAGCGUUGUCCGGAAUUAUUGGGCGUAAAGAGCUCGUAGGCGGCUUGUCACGUCGAUUGUGAAAGCUCGGGGCUUAACCCCGAGUCUGCAGUCGAUACGGGCUAGCUAGAGUGUGGUAGGGGAGAUCGGAAUUCCUGGUGUAGCGGUGAAAUGCGCAGAUAUCAGGAGGAACACCGGUGGCGAAGGCGGAUCUCUGGGCCAUUACUGACGCUGAGGAGCGAAAGCGUGGGGAGCGAAC
rnacentral:rRNA from 1 species